GAGGAGACAGAGGUAUGGCGACUUGUUCCAAUCGAGGCAAGAAAGAUGUGCAUGAUGAUCGCCCCAACAUCCUAUUGGUACAACAGAAAGAAAUCCAGUUUGUGCAUCCAACACAAAGCGAGAGAAACAAAACAAUAAUGAUUUCAUCAAGUUCCUUCCCCUCACCUCAUACAGUUCAGUCCUGGACAUCCAUUCAAAGACAGCGAGUUCUGACUGGGGAAAGAUAUGAGGCAAGCUUCGUAUUUGUGGAUCAUUCAUUCCAGUUUUCUUUUCUUUAACGAAAAUCAACACAAGUACCCGCAAUCACUGACCGUUUGUCUGGCCAAGUUUGUCUAAAGAAAAAA